GCGAUGCUGCCCGGUACGUCAGGCAGGACGACUCCCGGGGGCUUUCUACCAGAAUGGGAGCUGUCCCUGCCGGGGCCCUGGCCCCGGUAUCACGGCGCCCACCUAGUCCCAUGGCCCAUGUGGAGGUCAUGAUGCCAACGGCCAGGGCGGCAUCGCG
rnacentral:other from 1 species